GACAGAGGGUGCAAACGUUGUUCGGAAUUACUGGGCAUAAAGCGCACGUAGGUGGUCCGCUAAGUCGCGUGUGAAAUCCCCCGGCUCAACCGGGGAACUGCGUGUGAUACUGGCAGGCUCGAGGUCGGUAGGGGUGAGCGGAACUCCAGGUGGAGCGGUGAAAUGCGUAGAUAUCUGGAGGAACACCGGUGGCGAAGGCGGCAUCCUGGACCAAUACUGACGCUGAGGAGCGAAAGCCAGGGGAGCAAACGGG
rnacentral:rRNA from 1 species